UGGUUUUAAUUUUUGGUUCUAUCUGUUCUAAUUUUAUUCUUGCUUCUUUUCUAAAUUCUUGUUCUAUUUCUGGUUCUGAUUUUGGUUAUCUCUGGUUCUAAGUUUUUGUGUUUCCAUGAUAGGGAUAUAUCCCUUGAUGGACAAACUUUGGAGGAAGCUAAUGAAAGCUUGGAUGAAGUGGUGGCUCUUGCUAAAGACCUUCAAACUAAGAAAGUUCAAAUUAGGAGCCAAAGUUGUUGAAUCAACUUCCUCUCGAGCAAGCAUAAAGGAAGGUACAAGUGAACCUUUCGUCAUCAAAGAUAAUCGUGGAGAAUCUUACAAGAAACACUACCCUCCAUACUUGAAUGAUGAUAUACGGCGUUUGGAGAAAAUUGCAAAGGAUGAAAAAAUCCACAAGCGGCUCUCUUCCCAUGGAAUUCUUAUGUGAAGUGUGGCAGCAUUCCAAUUAAGUCAUGGACAGCAAUUACUAGCCAUGCCAAGACUUGUGUGAUAAAUGAUCACAAGCUCUAUAGCUAUUGUGCGACACAAUAACCUAUAGUCCUGCUAUUCAAUUCCAUCUACAUCCUUGUAGGAGUAUUCAACGGGCAAAAUUAUUGUUCACCUGAUGCACUCACUCCAAAGGAGAAAGCGGAGAGAAAGUACAGAUGUUGAAGACUUGUUCAUAGCUCACAUUGUUGGAAUGGACACAAUGGCUCGUGGAUUCAAGAAUGCUGCUAAGUUAAUUGAGAUAUCAGCCUGAUCCAGUAUCAGUGGUGAUGGGAGGCCCAAGCACCAUACUUGCCUAUAGAUGGAAGCAUGACAAGGAUUUCAUAGAGUUAAGUUUACAAGACAGCGAGAAAAUAGAAGGUAUUGUGCUGUGUGAAGGUGUUUAGAAGGGCCUCCAAUCCUUAUUGAGUUUGUGUAGCGGUUUUGUGAACAGUCAGAAGAAAGAUUAAAAGAUCAAAGAGAGGAGGAACUAGAGCAACAUCUGAAAGAAAGAGAUGCAACAGGGACCUGGAAGGUACCCAUCUGAAAGAGAACUAGAGCAAUGCUUGAAGGAUUCUUGGAGCCGUUGUUGUAAUAGCUGCAAAUGCUAGUGGUGCAUGGACUCCUAUUGGUGAUGUUACCACCACUAUGCUGUGGAUACAUGGUUAAAUAUCUACAGUGCAAACAAUGAAGGUACCUUUAGGGUUUGUUUGUACCUUCAGCCAUUUCUCUAGCUGUUCCAUUGGCGCUCAUGUCCCUGACUAGCGAAGUGAAUGGGAAGGGACAAGAUUCUCCAAAUGUCUUAGCUUCCGAACAGAUGGCACCUCGAGGACAGCUUGUUUUCUCAGUAGGUUUAGGGGUUUUGAUUUUUGUCCCCAUGUUCAAGGCCCUCACAGGUUUGCCUCCGUACAUGGGGAUGCUACUUGGACUUGGUGUCCUUUGGAUCUUCACUGAUGCUAUUCAUUACGGUGAAUUGGAAAGACAAAAGCUAAAAGUGCCGCAGGCUCU